rnacentral:lncRNA from 1 species
GGAAAAGAUGAUAAUUGUGAAAAGGGUCAGAAACUUAUUGUUGUGGUUUUGGCUGUGAGAUCUCCACCUCCUUAUGUUCCAACACCUCCAAAUGCUCCUUUGUAUAGUCCUCCAAAUGUUCCAAAUAUACCAAAAGCUCCAACACCCCCAAAAGCUCCAUCACCUAUAUAUAGUCCUCCAAGUGUUCCACAAGUUCCUUCUACACCUAAAGCUCCUUCACCCUAUGUCCCAAAACCUCCACAAACUCCUUCUCCUAUUCAUCCUCCUCAUUUUUCAACACCACCAAAAGCUCCUUAUGUUCCAACACCACCACAAACUCCUUCACCAAUAUAUCACCCUCCAAAAGCUCCUUCACCCUAUGUUCCAAAUCCUCCACAAGUUCCUUCUCCUAUUUAUCAUCCUCCCAUUGUACUAACUCCACAAGAAGCUCCAACACCUCCACAAGCUCCUUCCCCUAUUUCCCAUCCUCCUUAUAGUACUCCAACACCUCCACAAACACCUUCUCCAAGUUCUCAACCACCCCAUGUAACAACACCUCCAAAAACACCCUCUCCUAUUUCUCAACCUCCCUAUGUUUUGUCACCUCCAAAAACACCCUCUCCAAGUUCUCAAGCUCCCUAUGUAACAACACCUCCAAAAACACCCUCUCCAAGUUCUCAACCACCCUAUGUGCUAACACCUCCAAAAACUUCUUCACCAAGUUCUCAACCUCCAUAUGUGCUAACCCCUCCAAAAACACCCUCUCCAAGUUCUCAACCUCCCUAUGUUCCAUCACCUCCAAAAACACCCUCUCCAAUUGCUCAAGCUCCCUAUGUACUAUCACCUCCAAACACACCCUCUCCAAUUUCUCAACCACCCUAUGUAACAACACCUCCAAGCACUCCUUCUCCUAUCAAUCAACCACCCUAUGUAACAACACCCCCAAAACCCAGUUCUCCUAUUUCUCAACCUCCAUAUAUAUCAACACCUCCAAACACUCCUUCUCCUAUCAAUCAACCACCCUAUAUAACAACACCUCCAAAACCCAGUUCUCCUACUUCCCAACCUCCAUAUAUAUCAACUCCUCCACCAACCCCUUCUCCUAUUUCUCAAUCUCCCUAUGUAACAACACCUCCUAAACCCAUUUCUCCUUCUUCUCAACCUCCAUAUAUAUCAUCACCUCCAACAACAACCCCAUCUCCUAUUUCUCAACCUCCCUAUGUCUCAACACCUCCAAAAACUGCUUCUCCUACUUCUCAACCUCCACAUAUAUCAAUACCUCCACAAACUAGUUACCCCAUUUCUCAACCUCCAUAUAUUUCACAACCUCCAAAAGCUCUUUCCCCCACUUCUGAACCUCCAAACACCCCUUCUCCUAUUUCUCAACCUCCCUAUACCCUAUCACCUUUGAACAGCCCUUCUCCAUUUUCUCAAUCACCUUACAUUUCAACUCCUCCAAAGUCCACUUCCCCUAUUUCUCAACCUCCACAAAAACCAAGAAGUGGAAGCUUUGCACCAUUUUAUUCAACAACAUCACCAUCUCCAUCACCAUUAUACUCAUCACCAACAACAUCACCAUCAUACUCAUCACCAACAACAUCACCAUCAUACUCAUCACCAA